AGGGAAAGCGGGCGGCAGGCCUAACACAUGCAAGUCGAACGGUAACAGGAAGCAGCUUGCUGCUUUGCUGACGAGUGGCGGACGGGUGAGUAAUGUCUGGGAAACUGCCUGAUGGAGGGGGAUAACUACUGGAAACGGUAGCUAAUACCGCAUAACGUCGCAAGACCAAAGAGGGGGACCUUAGGGCCUCUUGCCAUCGGAUGUGCCCAGAUGGGAUUAGCUAGUAGGUGGGGUAACGGCUCACCUAGGCGACGAUCCCUAGCUGGUCUGAGAGGAUGACCAGCCACACUGGAACUGAGACACGGUCCAGACUCCUACGGGAGGCAGCAGUGGGGAAUAUUGCACAAUGGGCGCAAGCCUGAUGCAGCCAUGCCGCGUGUAUGAAGAAGGCCUUCGGGUUGUAAAGUACUUUCAGCGGGGAGGAAGGGAGUAAAGUUAAUACCUUUGCUCAUUGACGUUACCCGCAGAAGAAGCACCGGCUAACUCCGUG
rnacentral:rRNA from 1 species